UACGUAGGGUGCGAGCGUUGCCCGGAUUUAUUGGGCGUAAAGGGCGCGCAGGCGGCUACGCACGUCCGUUGUGAAAUCGCUCGGCUCAACUGGGCGGGGUCAGCGGAUACGGCGUGGCUGGAGCAAGCUAGGGGGCAAUGGAAUUCCCGGUGUAGUGGUGGAAUGCGUAGAGAUCCGGAAGAACACCGGUGGCGAAGGCGGUCUGCUGGGCAGUUGCUGACACUGAGGCGCGACAGCGUGGGGAGCAAACAGG
rnacentral:rRNA from 1 species